rfam:Fusarium graminearum chromosome 2, complete genome
GGGCGAAUGGUUUAGUGGUAUAAUACUCCCUUAGCAUGUUUCCUCUGGAAUCGGUCAUUGGGAGUGGUCCAGGGUUCGAUUCCCUGUUCGUCCA